UAGGGAAUAUUAGUAAUCUGGGAAACCGGGAACUAGCAACGCCGCGUGUGCGAUGAAGGCCUUCGGGUUGUAAAGCACUUUUUAAGGGAAUGAGAAAGGACAGUACCCUUAGAAUAAGUCUCGGCUAACUACGUGCCAGCAGCCGCGGUAAGACGUAGGAGACGAGCGUUAUUCGGAUUUACUGGGCGUAAAGCGCGUGCAGGCGGUUUGGUAAGUUGGAUGUGAAAGCUCUCGGCUCAACCGGGAGAGGUCGUUCAAAACUGCCAGACUAGAGAAUAGGAGAGGGAGGUGGAAUUCCGGGUGUAGUGGUGAAAUGCGUAGAUAUCCGGAGGAACACCAGUGGCGAAGGCGACCUCCUGGCCUAUUUCUGACGCUCAGACGCGAAAGCUAGGGUAGCAAACGG
rnacentral:rRNA from 1 species